ACAAGUUACUUCCUCAUAAUGAGAAUUUGUAUUUGAAAGCACAGUACUACAUAUUUGAAAAUGGCAAUGUACAGUGCAUAUCAUCUGAAUAUAACGUGAAGAGUUUCAAUAUGUAUUAAUAUUGAUCAAUGAUUAGUAACUUGUGGUUAAACAUUCAUGUUUUGAUGGUGUAUUGUUGAAAUACACAGCAAAAGAUAAGUUAAGUUUUUACUAUUUCUGUAAAUGUAAUUUAAUGAAAUCAAGAGUGACUAUAACCUGACUGCUGGGAAAUGGGAAACUUUUUUUAAGCAUACUGCCUGAAGGUGCUGCUGAAUGUGGGUGAUCAGAAUGACAGGGUAAAACAUUAAAAUAUUAAAAAAAAAAAGUUAAAAUAUUUCAACUAAAGUAUCUCAGUAUACAUUUAGCUGUGUGUGGGUAACUCAAGUGGCUGGAUUCUUCAAGUAAAAAUAUGUUAAUCGCAUUUGUUCAAAACACUUGCACCAGUUUCCAGCUAUAAUGCUAUAAAUCAUAUGUCAUUUACAUACAUGAAAACAAAAAUUAGGUAAACAUAAGCAAUUUUCUGUUUGAUUAAUGUAAAAUCAUUAUUAUCACUAUUAUUGUUAUAAGUUAGAUAAGACUCACUGUUAACAGAGAAGAGGAAAACAAAACUCCGGUCAAGAGAAUUACUCUAUAAAUAAACUUCUGGGGGUCCAUAGUUGGAUGUAACAGCCACAGUCAAAUGUUAGACAAAUUUACAAUUCUGGGGACCUUGGCCAACUGGCACCAACCCCUUUUGGCCAUUCUACAUUACAAAUGUAUGUUCUAGGAAGACUAAUAAGAAGAUGAAAUAUUUGCAUCCUCUUCUGCCUUAAUGUCCAAAGGCAGUAGUAGUAACUUGACAAUACAGCAGCAGCAAGUGUCACAGCAGGAUUAUGGGAUGACAAACAAAAUAGAAGUAGGAGAUAAUGAUUGUCACACUUGUUUUUUUGUUUAAAUAACUAGAACCAGAGUUGUAAUAUAAACUGCUAAUCAUCUGCAGUUAUCAGGGUAUGUUAGAGACUAAACUCACAAGUCUUCAGCGUGGAUUGAAAUGCUGACUGAUGAGCCAUCUCUUAUAUACUGUAAACAGGCAACUCCUUCCUUAACUCCUUGAGAUUGUAAUGUACUCUAUCAUUUAUAUGUAAUAUGAUUAAUAUAAACCCAUAAUAGUAGUCAGUAGCAUUGUCAUGUGUACAGCUACAGUAAAAUUCUUUUCUUGCAUAUCAAAUGUAAGAAGUCAGCUCUAAACUUUGCAAAAAGCUAAGUACAGGAGUUAUGUGACAGUACUGUUCUAGUUCAGGUAAUGGCUCUUACACUAGCAGUUUGAAUUAUAAAUUAUCUGUACAUAUCUGUGAAGUAUGACUUAUUUUCUCCAGACCAAAACAAACUAAGAAAUAAAAAUGUAGUCUUUGUUCAAAUAUUAACAUUUUCAUAUAGCUUACACAUUGACUCUUUUUUUUGUUUCUAAUUCUCAUUUAACAACAUGAAAGUUUGAUUUAAUAAACAUAUUACCUGUCCCAUUGCAAUUGCCGAUAGGCCAGUGAUCAGUUAUGAAUCUUAUGCUAUCUCGUUUCCAGUUGUUUGUCUGUGUGAUUGCCAGUUUGCCAGGCUAUGCACAUGUUUAAUAGAUGAUGAAAAUAAAAAAUGUCUUUCCAACAUGAGAAACAGCUUGAUUUACACAAUAAAUCUGGAUUUUUUUUAAAUUCCUCUUGUUGCUUUCCGUUAAGUGGUGACAUGUUUUGAGAGGAAAUGCAAAAAUCCCCAAGUUAUAGUAAAAUAAUAAAGAAUUAAAUACAUGUUCUUCCUGUGUAGGCAUGGGUUUUCCUGCAGGUACUUGGGCCUUUCUCAUAUAUCAUAAAGAUAUUCAUCCUUUGUUGAUUUGCAAUGCAAAACUGGCCCAGUGUGACUGUAGAUGUGUCUGCCUAUAAAUGGGCCCUGUGAUAUACUAAUGUUGCAUCUAGGGUUACUGCCUGCCUUGUGCUUGAUGCUAACUCUGAAUUGGAAUAGGCAGGGUCUACGAAUGUUAUGUUGUGUUAAAGAUGAUUAAUGAAAAAACACAUGUAAAGUAUAACUUAUAUACAUAAUGAUCUAUAUCUAUAUAUAAUUUAAAAAGGAUCAAAUGCUGGUAUAGACAAUGAAAUGGUUUUCCAAACAGAAUCGAGAAAAAAAAAUAUUCUGAUGUUCAUUUUGUGCUUUUCUAUUACAGGGUCACAGUAAACUGUUAUCCUGGGAACGUGAGGAACUAGGUAGGAGCAAAUUUCGCAUGAGGUGCCAGUCUGAAAGGGCAUACUCAUGCACACAUCCACGUUCACACUCAGCCCUAUCUGGCUAGUUUAGAGUUGUCCCUUAACAGCCAAAUUCUCCAGACAAGCAUUCAAGACUUGAGGCCACCUUGUAAACUAAACCCACAUCCAUGGAGGUGUGCUAUGCAUUGUGUCGCCAUUCCAACCAAAAGCUUUAUUGCAGUCGUAUGCAAAUACAAAUAGUGUGCUUUUAUGGAUCUGAUUCUUAAACCAUGAUGAAGUUUAAACACGUAUUUUUACAUUGCUUGUUAAUUAUUUUCUUUUUUAUAUAAUAUUUAACAGUCUUAAAGUUAUACAGGCAUCCUUUUCCUGGGUCUGUGCCUUUUGCCUGAUCCUGAUGUCUGGAUAAGCUCUAGCUCCUUGCAACCCUGCAUUGCACAAAGUAAAGCAGCAGAAAAUACCUUUAAUUUUACAACAAAAUCCCAUGUGCUAGAAUAUAGUAUGAUUAAAGUGGCUGGAUGCUUCAAGCAAAAUGUCUUAGUUGUUCAUUAUUAUGAAGUAUGUCUUAUUUGUGCAGAAACAUAUUUCAGUAAUCAAUAAUUAUUUCAUAAAAUAUUUAUUUAUAUAAUGUAUAGCACCUUUCAGCAAGGACAUGCCAACGUGAUUUACAAAACACCAAACAAAGUUGAUAGUAAAGCGACGAUUUAUUAUGAAAUGGUAGACACAUCUGUCUGAAAAGGCAGAAAAGACAGUCCUGUAUGCAUCGGUGAUUUUCUAGUGAAAGGCUCGCACCAGUUUGUACUUAGGUGUCUGCUUUUACUUCUAAGACACAUAAUGAGUUAAUAAGAAUUAAUAUACAGUUCAAUAACCGUAAAUGUAAGCCAAUUUUAUUUACCCAUAAUCAUUUGUAAAAUCUUUCCUAUUAAUAGCUGUUAUAUAACACAGAGUUCAUAGUAUUUUAAAUACUGGCUGUGAAAUAAAUCCUCUGAGACUAAAAUUAAACCAGAGCUUAGGUCUUGUGCUACUUGGCUGCUUGCUAAUAGCAAAUUAGCUGCAUUGGAUUACUGAUGUAAGGCGGGGACGGUGGUGCGCUUGUGUUUUCAGACAGAAAAAUAUUAUGUCAUAAACAUUGUAUUACAAAUAAUUAUUUUGCACUGUCCUGGAGAUCUAUAUAGCCUUCUUAAAGGGCUUCUCAUGCUAUUUAGACGAUGACUGUGACUGGCACAUCAAAAUUCCAAGAUUAUGUAGUCUGCCUCAUUCAUUUUUAUAUGACUGUCUAAUGCUCCUAGAUUUUCUGCAUUUUUUUGCAAGUCUCAUAAAUAAUGUAUAUUGUACUACACAAUUUUUGCAAAAAAACUUUUCACACUAUGUGUUCCAUAAGGAAGUUAAAAAUACCUGCCCCUCGUGAAUGAGAUUCAAACUGAUAAGUCUUUUUCUUAUUUGAAUGUUCACCGAUUUUAGCUGAUUGUAUAUAUAACUAGCGCCAGUACCUGUCAAAGACGGAUAAUAGAAUUAUUCAAA